rnacentral:rRNA from 1 species
CUAGCGGCGUGCCUAAUGCAUGCAAGUCGAACGGGAACCUUUAGAUUCGUCUGAAGGGGAGAGUGGCGAACGGGUGAGUAACACGUUGGUGACCUACCCCAGAGAGGGGGAUAACCAUUGGAAACGAUGGCUAAUACCCCGGAUGUCCCUACUGUUAGAGAGUAGUGACUAAAGCUCCGGCGCUCUGGGAGGGGCCUGCGGCCCAUCAGCUUGUUGGUAGGGUAAUGGCCUACCAAGGCAAAGACGGGUAGGGGACGUGAGAGCGUGACCCCCCACACUGGUACUGAUACACGGACCAGAUACCUACGGGUAGCAGCAGCAAGGAAUAUUGCCCAAUGGACGAAAGUCUGAGGCAGCAACGCCGCGUGGAGGAUGAAGGCCUUCGGGUCGUAAACUCCUUUUCUGGGGGAAGAGAAAGGACGGUACCCCAGGAAUAAGUCUCGGCUAACUACGUGCCAGCAGCCGCGGUAAAACGUAGGAGGCGAGCGUUAUCCGGAUUUACUGGGCGUAAAGCGCGUGCAGGCGGUUUCUUAAGUCGGACGUGAAAGCUCCUGGCUCAACUGGGGGAGGUCGUUCGAAACUAGGGAACUUGAGGAUGGUAGAGGAGAGUGGAAUUCCCGGUGUAGUGGUGAAAUGCGUAGAUAUCGGGAGGAACACCAGUGGCGAAGGCGGCUCUCUGGGCUAUUCCUGACGCUAAGACGCGAAAGCUAGGGGAGAGAAUGGGAUUAGAAACCCCGGUAUUCCUAGCCGUAAACGAUGUCAACUAGGUGUAGAGGGUAUCCAACCCCCCUGUGCUGUAGCUAACGCGUUAAGUUGACCGCCUGGGGACUACGGCCGCAAGGCUAAAACUCAAAGGAAUUGACGGGGACCCGCACAAGCAGCGGAGCGUGUGGUUUAAUUCGAGGCUACGCGAAGAACCUUACCAGGGUUUGACAUGUCGGUGGUAGAAAGGCGAAAGCCGAUCGACCCUUCGGGGUGCCGUCACAGGUGCUGCAUGGCUGUUGUCAGCUCGUGCCGUGAGGUGUUAGGUUAAGUCCUGUAACGAGCGCAACCCUCGUCGUUAGUUACAUGUGUCUAACGAGACUGCCGGGAUAAGCCGGAGGAAGGUGGGGAUGACGUCAAGUCAGCAUGGCCUUUAUAUCCUGGGCUACACACACGCUACAAUGGCCGGUACAAUGGGUCGCGAAGCCGCGAGGCGAAACCAAUCCC